GUGAGGAAUAUUGGUCAAUGGGCGAGAGCCUGAACCAGCCAAGUCGCGUGAGGGAAGACGGCCCUAUGGGUUGUAAACCUCUUUUAGAUGGGAGUAAAGUGUUCUACGCGUAGGAUAUUGCAAGUACCAUCAGAAUAAGCAUCGGCUAAUUCCGUGCCAGCAGCCGCGGUAAUACGGAAGAUGCGAGCGUUAUCCGGAUUUAUUGGGUUUAAAGGGUGCGUAGGCGGGUGAUUAAGUCAGCGGUGAAAUGCGUCAGCUUAACUGGCGAACUGCCAUUGAAACUGGUUACCUUGAGUGUAGCGGAAGUAUGCGGAAUGCGUGGUGUAGCGGUGAAAUGCAUAGAUAUCACGCAGAACUCCGAUUGCGAAGGCAGCAUACCAUACUAUAACUGACGCUGAAGCACGAAAGCGUGGGUAUCGAACAGGAUUAGAUACCCUAGUAGUCC
rnacentral:rRNA from 1 species